rnacentral:rRNA from 1 species
GCGGUGAAAUGCGUAGAUAUCUGGAGGAACACCGGUGGCGAAGGCGGCAUCCUGGACCGGCAUUGACGCUGAGGCGCGAAAGCUAGGGGAGCAAACGGGAUUAGAUACCCCGGUAGUCCUAGCCCUAAACGAUGAAUGCUUGGUGUGGCGGGUAUCGAUCCCUGCCGUGCCGAAGCUAACGCAUUAAGCAUUCCGCCUGGGGAGUACGGUCGCAAGGCUGAAACUCAAAUGAAUUGACGG